rnacentral:misc_RNA from 1 species
GAUGAAGAACGUAGCGAAAUGCGAUAAGUAAUGUGAAUUGCAGAAUUCAGUGAAUCAUCGAAGCUUUGAACGCACAUUGCGCCCGCCAGUAUUCUGGCGGGCAUGCCUGUUCGAGCGUCAUUACAACCCUCAGGCCCCCGGGCCUGGCGUUGGGGAUCGGCGGAGCCCCCCGUGGGCACACGCCGUCCCCCAAAUACAGUGGCGGUCCCGCCGCAGCUUCCAUCGCGUAGUAGCUAACACCUCGCGACUGGAGAGCGGCGCGGCCACGCCGUAAAACACCCAACUCUUCUGAAGUUGACCUCGAAUCAGGUAGGAAUACCCGCUGAACUUAAGCAUAUCAAUAAGCGGAGGA